rnacentral:rRNA from 1 species
UACAGAGGUCCCAAGCGUUGUUCGGAUUCAUUGGGCGUAAAGGGUGCGUAGGCGGCGCGGUAAGUCGGGUGUGAAAUCUCGGGGCUUAACUCCGAAACUGCAUUCGAUACUGCCGUGCUUGAGGACUGGAGAGGAGACUGGAAUUCACGGUGUAGCAGUGAAAUGCGUAGAUAUCGUGAGGAAGACCAGUGGCGAAGGCGGAUCUCUGGACAGCUCCUGACGCUGAGGCGCGAAGGCUAGGGGAGCAAACGGG